rnacentral:rRNA from 1 species
AACGUAGGUGGCGAGCGUUAUCCGGAUUUACUGGGCGUAAAGGGUGUGCAGGCGGGCUGUUAAGUGGUGUAUGAAAUAUCCCGGCUCAACCGGGAGAGGUUAUGCCAGACUGGCAGUCUAGAGAGCGAGAGAGGGACGUGGAAUUCCGGGUGUAGUGGUGAAAUGCGUAGAGAUCCGGAGGAACCCCAGAGGCGAAGGCGGUUGCCUGGAGCUUUGCUGACGCUGAGGCGCGAAAGCGUGGGGAGCGAUCCGG